rnacentral:tRNA from 1 species
GGAGAGAUGCAGGAGUCUGGUUGAACUGGCAUGAUUGGAAAUCAUGUGUGCUGUUGUGCAGUACCGUGGGUUCGAAUCCCACUCUCUCCG